CUGGCGGCAGGCCUAACACAUGCAAGUCGAGCGGUAGAGAGGUGCUUGCACCUCUUGAGAGCGGCGGACGGGUGAGUAAUGCCUAGGAAUCUGCCUGGUAGUGGGGGAUAACGCUCGGAAACGGACGCUAAUACCGCAUACGUCCUACGGGAGAAAGCAGGGGACCUUCGGGCCUUGCGCUAUCAGAUGAGCCUAGGUCGGAUUAGCUAGUUGGUGGGGUAAUGGCUCACCAAGGCGACGAUCCGUAACUGGUCUGAGAGGAUGAUCAGUCACACUGGAACUGAGACACGGUCCAGACUCCUACGGGAGGCAGCAGUGGGGAAUAUUGGACAAUGGGCGAAAGCCUGAUCCAGCCAUGCCGCGUGUGUGAAGAAGGUCUUCGGAUUGUAAAGCACUUUAAGUUGGGAGGAAGGGCAGUUACUUAAUACGUGACUGUCUUGACGUUACCGACAGAAUAAGCACCGGCUAACUCUGUGCCAGCAGCCGCGGUAAUACAGAGGGUGCAAGCGUUAAUCGGAAUUACUGGGCGUAAAGCGCGCGUAGGUGGUUCGUUAAGUUGGAUGUGAAAUCCCCGGGCUCAACCUGGGAACUGCAUUCAAAACUGUCGAGCUAGAGUAUGGUAGAGGGUGGUGGAAUUUCCUGUGUAGCGGUGAAAUGCGUAGAUAUAGGAAGGAACACCAGUGGCGAAGGCGACCACCUGGACUGAUACUGACACUGAGGUGCGAAAGCGUGGGGAGCAAACAGGAUUAGAUACCCCUG
rnacentral:rRNA from 1 species